UGCAGUAUGUCUGGAAACGCACCUCCGCAAUAUAAGCUGGAAUUAAAAUGAAAAACUUUAAUGAAAAUCGAAGUUUUGUCAAGCAAAUGACUCAAAUAUGACCUGGAAGGGUCAUUGGGUAUUUCACAUGGAAUGAAGGAAACAAUAAACCCGAUAGUCGUUUUAACUCAGCAGAGGCUUCCCACGA